UGGCUGAAGGUGGGAUUCAGGGCCUGUCCAGGGGUGCAGAGAUGAGCUGGGGGGAAGCAAGCAACUGUGAGGUGGCAGAAGUCAAAAGGGAGCACCAGAGGAGGAGGAGCAAGGGGAAGGGAUUGGCAAGGGAGGAGGAAAGGGAAAUAAUUGAAAAUGCAAUAGAAGAAUACAUAGGUAGAAAGUGCACUGGGCAAAACUUUUAAUCUUUCCACGGGACAUCACCAAAUAUUCAAUAUCUCUUGCCUCAGAGCAUCUUCUCAUCUUGUGCUUCUGUUAAUUAGGGUUAAACCUGCAGAAACUUUGCAGGAAGCUUUCCCUUCAUAAUCAUAGUUACCUAAAAUUUCAUAUUGGGUCUUUAGCUCGUUACAUUAGCGUAAUUCUUUGAUAGCUCUCUGUCAGCGGAUGGAGGCAGUGAUGCUGAGCAAGCGUGACCUGGAGUACAGCUGCAGACAGCUGAUAAUUGAGCAGGUGGUGUCCUGGAGCAUGAGACUUGGUGGAGAAAAUGGACUCAACAAGCUCAAGAGCUGUCUACCCCAAUGAGCAUCAAAUCAAGGAGGGGCAGCAGGAGGUCUGCAUGGGUCAGCAAGGAAAUCCUGUCAAAACUCGGGCACAAAAAGGGAGGAUAUAAGAGGUGGAAGCAGGUUUAGGUGGCCCAGCCAGCAGGUAAAGUAACUGUCUGAGCUUGCAGGGAUAGGGCUAGGAAAGCCAAAGAACACCUGGAGUUGAGUCUGGUGAGGGAUGUGAGGGUGAUAUAAGGGGCUUCUACCAGUAUAUCAGCAGCAAGAGGAAGCCAAGGGAUAACACGGACCUGCUGCUUGAAUGGGCAGGGGCUCUGGUGAUAAAGGACACCGAAAAGGCCACAGGUACUCAAUACCUUCGGCUUGGUCUUUAAUAGUAAGAUUUACCUUUUUAGGAAUUCUAGCUCCCUGAGACCAGAAGAAAAGUCUGUAGCAAGGAAGAAUUACCAUCAGUAGUAGUGGAUCAGGUGAGGGAAUGCUUAAACUGGACACAUGCAGGUCCAUGGGAUGGGGUGCCCCCAUGCAUGCUGAGGGAGCUGAGUGAUGUGAUAGUACACCCACUCUGUUACCUUUACAAAGUCACAGUGAUCGGGAGAUGACUGAUGAUUGGAAGACAGCAAAUAUCACACCCUUCAAGAAGGGCAAGGAGGAUCUAGGGAACUCCAGACUGGUCAGCUUCACCUCCAUCCUUGGGAAGGUAAUGGAACAACUAAUCCUGGAACCCAUUUCCAGACACAUGAAGGACAAAAGGGUGAUCAGGAGGAAUUGGCAUGGAUUUAUGAAGGGGAAGUCGUGCUUCACCAGCCUGAUAGCCUUCUGUGAAGAGAUGAGUGGCCUGGUGAAGGAGGGAAGAGCAGUGGAUGUUGUUUAACCUGGCUUUAGCGAGACAUUUGACGGUCUUGGACAGCAUCCUCACAAAAAACUGAUUAUGGUACAGACCAUAUAACUGGACAGUGAGGUGAACUGAAAACAAGCUGGACUACUAGGCUCAGAUGGUUGUGAUCAGUGGCACAAAGUGUAGCUAGAGGAUAAUCACCAGUAAAGUACCCCAAUUGUUGAUACUAGGUCCAAUGAUGUUUAUCCUCUUCAUUUAUGAUCUGGAUGAUGGAACAAAGGACUUAGGGACUUAUAUCAUCUGCAAACUUGCAGAUGAUACAAAACUGAAAGGAGUGGCCAAUGUGUCAGAGGGUUGUAUUGCCAUUCAAAGGGACCUGGACAGCCUGGAGUAUUGGGCAGAGAAGAAUGUCAUGAAGUUCAACAAAGGGAAAUGCGAAGUCCUGUGCCCAGAGAACCUCAUGCACAAAUAUAGAAGCUUUCCUUCCCGCACAAUCUCAUCCAAAGCUGUGCACAGGUGUCCUUUUGUUCAGCUGCACUUAAAACUGCUGCAAUUUGAUUCCUGUUUGAGGUCUACCAGGCUGUAAAUAAGAUUAAUAUGGAGAUAUGCUUACAGCUAUGGAGUUGCCUAACUUAGAUUGAACUUCCUUUAAAAGGUUUAGUGAUCUAUAAUUGCAUUCUUUAGUAAUUGUAUUAAAGCAUAUUCUUUACA